AGGAGUUUAGGAUCGCACGUUCUUCUAGUCACCAGAUAGCGCAUGGUGACACUACUAUGUUCAUAUUGCAGGAUAUAGAUUACAUUCAUACUAAAGGUUGUAAUACUAGUUCUCGAUGUUCAUGCAGUUAUUGCAAAAGAUUCUCAGCACUUCCGACAUAUUGUUGUUUUUCUGGUGGACAAAUUUCGGAUAGACAAUUCUCUGUUGGAGAACUAUGUUUUUUUCUUGUUCCAAAAUUUUAUCUUUAUUUAUGCAGUUUCACUAAAAUAUUGUAUUUGCUUAUAUUUUUACCUUUAGUUAUUAAAUUCUAUUUUUUUAAUGCUCUA